UUUCUUUACAAUUUUAUUAUUAUUAUUUAACCUGAGAUAAAAAUCCCACUGUACAAGGGUCAGGUGCAACAGUACCUGGAAAAGCACAUGCUCUCUCGGAAAAUUGAAGACGCCGUUAAUGCCGCCGUUAGGGCCAAAACUCCCGUCAUCUUAAUCUCUCAUCAUAUGAGGAAAUCGGUUCCUUCGGUGAUCACGAAGAUUAAAGCGAGGCAGAUCCUCGAUAGCAGAGGAAUUCCUACCGUUGAAGUCGAUUUGUUCAACAACAAAGGCAUGUUCCAAGCCUCUGUUCCAAGCGGCGAUACUAUUGGAAUGUGCAUUGGGAUUUCAACUCAAUGAAUGGUCAAGGAGAGUUCAAAUUUCACUAUUUGUGGGAUUGAAAGCUAGAACGUGUGUGAGUUCAAAUUACAAGUGCUUGCCUUGCCGAACAACUAGAAUCAAUCAGUGAAUCAAUGGAUGAGCGUGGCCUUCCUGCUCUGACAUUGUUUUUGGAGUGCAAAAAGAUUCCUCAAUGUGCUUGAAACUGUGGGAUGGGCUCAUUGGCUGGCAAAGAGUGUGGAAGCUAGGAAUAUAAACUCUUGGAAUGAUCCUCUUGGUGCACUUGUUGUUGGCAUUCAUCAGUUAGGGUUAUCUGGUUGGAAGCCAGAGGAAUCUGCUGCCAUUGAAAAUGAACUUCUUGCCUGGAGAGAGAGAGAUCUCUCUAAAAGGGAAGUGCUUACAAGAUGUGUAUGGAGGCCACUUUAGUAGACAAUGGCUUGCAUUACAGAUGUGCUCUUGUGAUUCAUGGAAUGCAAUCAUCUCAUUUUGUAGGAGGUUAAACAAGAAUGAGUGAUCCACAAGAGACACACACUUUGUUCCAAAUCAGUUAUGAAAUAAGGUAGGUGCAUUUUCUUCCUAAAAUGAACUACCCUUAUUUGGCUUUUUAUUCAAGUUUGGCACUUAUAACAAUGCCUAAUGGACGGCACUUUUUGCAAGCAUCAAAAGAACUUAGCGAUUAAUGGGAUCUCAUGCACAUUGAAGAGAACCCGGCUAUAGAUGUCUGGAUGGCAGAUGUGAGUCACUAUGUUUUUAAAAUUUCCAAUGAAUUGGUCUUGAAGGUUAAAGGUUACAAGAAUCUUCUAUUUUGAAAGGUAGAUGAACAAUGUAAAUUUAAGAGUGUAAAGGGCUGUAUGCAGAGUAGUUGAGUUGUAUUGAUUUUUACAGUUUGUUUCAAGUUAUUAAAUUUUGAUUAAUGUGAAAGAGUGCAUCCAAUUUUUUUUU